UUACAUUAAAAAUUUAUAUUAAAACAAUUAUUCGCCUCAGGCUUCAUAAUUGUCAAAUAUAAAAUAUAUUUACAUUCAUCAGUUACGUUUGUCCGCUUAAGUGAGGUUAUUUGGUCCAUUGGGACUUCGAGUUCAGUGUCCUCUUCCGCUUAACGGAAGGGUGAGAUAAUUCAAGAUUUUUAGUUGUAGUUCUGACUGGUAUGCAUGCAGGGCCAUAACUAGACACGAUAAUUGGGGAUGUAUCUGUGUAUAUUCAUAUAUUCAUGUUCACAUAGUUACCGUAAAAACAAUCGUUUCCAAAAGAAAUCCGUCGAGCAGAACACAAAU